AGAGUUUGAUCAUGGCUCAGGAUGAACGCUUGCGGCGUGCCUAAUACAUGUAAGUCGAACGGAAGAUGUAGCAAUAUGUCUUUAGUGGCGAACGGGUGAGUAACGCGUUGGUGACCUGCCCCGAAGAGAGGGAUAACAGACCGAAAGGUUUGCUAAUACCGCGUAAUUUCCUUCUAGUUAGAGAGGAGGGAAGAAAGGCCGAAAGGCGCUUUGGGAGGGGCCUGCGUCCCAUCAGCUAGUUGGCGAGGUAAAAGCUCACCAAGGCGAUGACGGGUAGGGGACCUGAGAGGGUGACCCCCCACAAUGGAACUGAAACACGGUCCAUACACCUACGGGUGGCAGCAGUAGGGAAUAUUGGUUAAUGGGCGAAAGCCCGACCCAGCAACGCCGCGUGCACGAAGAAGGCCUUCGGGUUGUAAAGUGCUUUUUAGUGGGAUGAGGAAGGACAGUACCACUAGAAUAAGUCUCGGCUAACUACGUGCCAGCAGCCGCGGUAACACGUAGGAGACGAGCGUUAUCCGGAUUUACUGGGUGUAAAGCGCGUGCAGGCGGUCGGGUAAGUUGGAUGUGAAAGCUCCUGGCUUAACUGGGAGAGGUCGUUCAAAACUGCCGGGCUAGAGUGCAACAGAGGGGAGUGGAAUUCCGAGUGUAGCGGUAAAAUGCAUAGAUAUUCGGAAGAACACCAGUGGCGAAGGCGGCUCUCUGGGUUGCAACUGACGCUCAGACGCGAAAGCUAGGGUAGCGAACGGGAUUAGAGACCCCGGUAGUCCUAGCCGUAAACGAUGUGGACUUGGCGUGGGUGGGUUGAAAUCCAUCUGUGCCGAAGCAAACGCGAUAAGUCCACCACCUGGGGACUACGGCCGCAAGGUUAAAACUCAAAGGAAUUG
rnacentral:rRNA from 1 species